rnacentral:rRNA from 1 species
GACAGAGGAGGCAAGCGUUGUUCGGAAUCACUGGGCUUAAAGCGCGUGUAGGCGGCUUGGCAAGUGUCGUGUGAAAUCCCCCGGCUCAACCGGGGAACUGCACGGCAAACUGCCCGGCUUGAGGUCGGUAGAGGUGCCUGGAACUCUCGGUGGAGCGGUGAAAUGCGUAGAUAUCGAGAGGAACGCCAGAGGCGAAAGCGGGGCACUGGGCCGAUUCUGACGCUGAGACGCGAAAGCGUGGGGAGCAAACAGG